AAGGGAAAAAGCAACAAGAGCUGAAAAAGAAAUUGGAGGAAGAGGAAGAGCUUACACCCGAACAACAGCUAGCAGAAAAGUUGAAAGUCCAGAAAAUGCAGGAGGAAGCAGACUUGGAGCUGGCAAAAGAGGCUUUUGGCAUUUCAGGGGGUAGUACCACAAACAAUGUUUCUGGAAUUGAAGCCAUGUGCCCAUCUUCUAAAGAAGACUUCACAGAGUUU